CAAGCUCAUUUCUGCUAUGUAUCUGAACCGCAAGAAUUGAAUUCAAGUCUGCCUAACACCCUGAUUGAGUAAUCUCAGCUGGCUCCCCCGGCAGCAUCCCCAGCGACAGUUUGCUCAGAGAGAGGAGGCUCCCCCAGAGUCCUGACUGGCUUCGUAGGGAGUAGUUCCAAAGCAUCGCCCGGUGACUCCAUGACACGAGGACAGUGUGGCACCAGAACCAACCACCAAAAGUGGGAGAUGGGGAGGAGGGGCAGCACCUGGGCCUCCUGAAGGCUCAUGAAAUGAGGCUCAAGGAAGAGGACGCUAGACACAAAAGGGAAGAAAAAGAGAGAGAGCGAGAGAGAUAAGAGAGAGAGAGAGAGAGAGAAAACACCAACUGGACCUGCUAGAGAAGCAGAACCAGAAUCGAACGACCCCCCAUUGCUCCAAAAAUCCACAAAUGGCAACACUUAUGUCCUGCAUACAGUGAGGACGAUGAUAUUGCUGAAUAUCUGACUACCUUUGAAAGGCUGUGUCUAAUACAUGAAAUCCCUCAUGAUAAGAGAGCUCCUACCCUGACUGCAAAAUUAACUGGUAAAGCUCGAAAAUUACUCCGUGGAAUGUCUAUUGAAGAUGCUUUAGACUAUUGUAAAUUUAAAGAUACUGUUUUGCGAAGGUAUCAGAUUACCCCUGAAACAUGUCGAGUUACAUUUAGGAAUCUUAAGGGGGGUAUUGGGAUGAGUCAUGGGGAAUGUGAAAACAAAAUGAAAGAUUUGUUGGGACAAUGGGUGAGGGGUAAAGAGGUGGCGAGUUGUGAGGGAAUGUUGGAUCUUGUUGCUCAAGAGCAUUUCCUAAGCAUGUGUAAAGCUGAUGUAAAGCAGUGUC